AGCAGCCGCGGUAAUUCCAGCUCCAAUAGCGUAUAUUAAAGUUGUUGCAGUUAAAAAACUCGUAGUUGAAUUUCGGGGUUAGUAAGUUGGUCAUGCCAUUGGUAUGCACUGGCUUUACUGAUUCCUCCUUCUUGACGAACCGUGAUGUCAUUAAUUUGGUGUUGCGGGAAAUCAGGACUGUUACUUUGAAAAAAUUAGAGUGUUUAAAGCAGGCUAACGCUUGAAUACAUUAGCAUGGAAUAAUGAAAUAGGACGUUAAUCCUAUUUUGUUGGUUUCUAGGAUCGACGUAAUGAUUAAUAGGGAUAGUUGGGGGCAUUAGUAUUCAAUUGUCAGAGGUGAAAUUCUUGGAUUUAUUGAAGACUAACUACUGCGAAAGCAUUUGCCAAGGAUGUUUUCAUUAAUCAAGAACGAAAGUUAGGGGAUCGAAGACGAUCAGAUACCGUCGUAGUCUUAACCAUAAACUAUGCCGACUAGGGAUCGGAUGAUGUUAAUUCUUUAAUGACUCA
rnacentral:rRNA from 1 species